rnacentral:rRNA from 1 species
UAUCUCUGUAGAGUCUGCAUAUCAAUAAGCGGAGGAAAAGAAACUAACAAGGAUUCCCCUAGUAACGGCGAGUGAAGCGGGAAGAGCUCAAAUUUGAAAUCUUCAAGGUUUGACCUUGACGAAUUGUAGUUUAAAGAAGUGUUUUCGGUUAGAGGAGUAGUAAAAGUUCUUUGGAAUAGGACAUCAUAGAGGGUGAGAAUCCCGUAUUUGACUAUUCUUUCUAGCUUUGUGAUACACUUUCAAAGAGUCGGAUUGUUUGGGAAUGCAGUCCAAAAUGGGUGGUAAAUUUCAUCUAAAGCUAAAUAUUGGCGAGAGACCGAUAGCGAACAAGUACCGUGAGGGAAAGAUGAAAAGAACUUUGAAAAGAGAGUUAAACAGUACGUGAAAUUGUCAAAAGGGAAGCGUUUGACACCAGUGUUGUUUUUCCGAAAAUCAAUUAAAAAUUGAUUCAUGCCAGGUUGUAUUGACCUUAUCAGCUUGCAAUUUGGUUUUGGGUCUCUUUUUGAUGCACUUUUCGGUUAACAAGUCAACAUUAAUUUCCUUUGCUGUAAAAAGGUAAGAGGAAGGUGGCUUCAAUUUCGGUUGAAGUGUUUAUAGCCUUUUAUCUCUGCAGUCGGGGGAGAUUGAGGUCUGCAGCGUAGAUCCUUCGGGGCUAGAUACAUUUAUGCUAAGUUAUAGCUUUUCAUAGACAACUUGUUGACUAUGUUUAGUCAUGUAGCUUACUCGUAAGUGCUAUUUUACCUACGCUUAGGAUGUUGAGCGCAUGUCUCUCUCU